GAUAAACGCUAGCGGCAGGCUUAACACAUGCAAGUCGAGGGGCAGCAUAGAUUGUAGCAAUACAAUUGGUGGCGACCGGCGCACGGGUGCGUAACGCGUAUGCAACCUACCCGUCACAGGGGGAUAAUCCGGAGAAAUCUGGUCUAAUACCCCAUAACAUAUGGAUCGGCAUCGGUUCAUGUUGAAAUUUUCGGAGGUGACGGAUGGGCAUGCGUAGCAUUAGCUUGUUGGUGAGGUAACGGCUCACCAAGGCGACGAUACUUAGGGGGACUGAGAGGUUUUCCCCCCACACGGGUACUGAGACACGGACCAGACCCCUACGGGAGGCAGCAGUGAGGAAUAUUGGUCAAUGGGCGCAAGCCUGAACCAGCCACGCCGCGUGCAGGAUGACGGCUCUAUGAGUUGUAAACUGCUUUUGUACGAGGGUAAAGUGGGUUACGUGUAACCUUUUGAAAGUAUCGUACGAAUAAGGAUCGGCUAACUCCGUGCCAGCAGCCGCAGUAA
rnacentral:rRNA from 1 species